GAUGAACGCUGGCGGCGUGCUUAACACAUGCAAGUCGAACGAAGCAUUUAGAACAGAUUACUUCGGUUUGAAGUUCUUUAUGACUGAGUGGCGGACGGGUGAGUAACGCGUGGGUAACCUGCCUUGUACUGGGGGAUAGCAGCUGGAAACGGCUGGUAAUACCGCAUAAGCGCACAAUGUUGCAUGACAUGGUGUGAAAAACUCCGGUGGUAUAAGAUGGACCCGCGUCUGAUUAGCUAGUUGGUGAGAUAACAGCCCACCAAGGCGACGAUCAGUAGCCGAGCUGAGAGGGUGACCGGCCACAUUGGGACUGAGACACGGCCCAGACUCCUACGGGAGGCAGCAGUGGGGAAUAUUGCACAAUGGAGGAAACUCUGAUGCAGCGACGCCGCGUGAGUGAAGAAGUAAUUCGUUAUGUAAAGCUCUAUCAGCAGGGAAGAUAGUGACGGUACCUGACUAAGAAGCUCCGGCUAAAUACGUG
rnacentral:rRNA from 1 species